GGGGGGGGGCAGAUUUCACAGUCUUUGACACUUUUUUUUUUUUUUUUUUUUUGGAGGGCCAUGAAUUUGAUAGAGUCCUAGGCAUGAGGUACCUGUCUGCCUAUGACCCUGUUUAUUGCAUUAACCUCAUUAUCCUUGUUAACCUUUAGGGAGUAUUGCUCAGGAAAUUUCAUUGAGAACUUUAUAUUUGCUUUUCAGGGUAUAUUUAAAAGGACUUUAUUGAUUGAAAUGGGAGCUUAGACUGCACAGCGCCUCCCAGGAUGGAGCCCUUUAUCUGCAGUUCACAGUAUGUUUAGGAAAUCCGAUCUGCACAGCAGUUUGUCUUUGCUCCUGGUGUCUUGGACACGAACGUCAGUUGCAUUCCUUGCUCCUUUCCAUGCUGCUGGCGGAGGCGUUAUUGUGGCAGAGGCAGGCACAGAUGUGGAAACUCCUUCUCUGCUCCAUCCCCUCCAGCACCUGAAGAGAGACAGUGAGAAUCAGAACUCUCCCUAGGGCAGUAGAAAGCAGAGGGCCCGAUCCAGAGCCCAGUGAAAUCUUCCCAUGAACUCCAAUGGGUUUUGGAUCCAUCCUACAAGAAAUAUGUAGCUUUCUAGAGCCUGCUUUUCUGUGUUUGGUGUUAUGACUAUCUUACAGUUCCAUGGGAUGCUGCUGUUGCUGGGGAGUGCAUAUGCUCCAGAGCACGGUCUGAAAUGUAUGUGUCCUGUUUCUCGUUUACAUCUCAGGUUCCUUUCCCUCGUCCCGACACAAUAUUUACAACAGAGCUUCUUUGGAUGGCAGAUUGGAACAAAUCUGAGUUGUAUCAAAUGUAUUCAGAGUCUGAUGUUUCAUAAUCCCUUCUUUUAGCUUAUCCAAACAAAUAUAUAGCUAAUACUUCUUGUGAGGCAGUCUGCUUCCUUGAUAACGCUGUCCUUAUCCAAACAAAAACCUCUUUUAAAUAUUUCACUGUUUUUUUCCAGGGGCAGAGGGAGGGAGUUAUUCAUCCAAGGGCUUGAUCUUGCAGGAUACUCAGCUGUCAGGGUCCAAUCCAGAAAAGCAAUUAAACAUGAACGUCUCCCCAUAGAAGUCAAUGGGACUGUGUGGAUGCCUGAAUUACACACAUGCUCAUGUGGUGUGCUGGGUCAGGGCCAGCGGGCUCAGCACCUAGCAGGAUGGAGCCCUGGGUGAAUAACUUUUUAAU